CUGGAGGUAUCAGAAGUGCGAAUGCUGACAUAAGUAACGAUAAAGCGGGUGAAAAGCCCGCUCGCCGGAAGACCAAGGGUUCCUGUCCAACGUUAAUCGGGGCAGGGUGAGUCGACCCCUAAGGCGAGGCCGAAAGGCGUAGUCGAUGGGAAACAGGUUAAUAUUCCUGUACUUGGUGUUACUGCGAAGGGGGGACGGAGAAGGCUAUGUUGGCCGGGCGACGGUUGUCCCGGUUUAAGCGUGUAGGCUGGUUUUCCAGGCAAAUCCGGAAAAUCAAGGCUGAGGCGUGAUGACGAGGCACUACGGUGCUGAAGCAACAAAUGCCCUGCUUCCAGGAAAAGCCUCUAAGCAUCAGGUAACAUCAAAUCGUACCCCAAACCGACACAGGUGGUCAGGUAGAGAAUACCAAGGCGCUUGAGAGAACUCGGGUGAAGGAACUAGGCAAAAUGGUGCCGUAACUUCGGGAGAAGGCACGCUGAUAUGUAGGUGAGGUCCCUCGCGGAUGGAGCUGAAAUCAGUCGAAGAUACCAGCUGGCUGCAACUGUUUAUUAAAAACACAGCACUGUGCAAACACGAAAGUGGACGUAUACGGUGUGACGCCUGCCCGGUGCCGGAAGGUUAAUUGAUGG
rnacentral:rRNA from 1 species